GACGCGCACGGCGGGCGGGCGCGCACGGCGGCGGGAGGGCGGGGGGCGGCGCUCGGCGCACCGGCCGCGGCUGAGGCGGGCUGAAGCGGCGCGGGCCGGACGCGGGCCGAGCCCGGCGGAGGACGCGCGGCGGCGGCGGCGGCGGUGAGGCGGCCUGCGGUGUUCCGGCCCGGCUGGCCCUGGGGAGGAGCGGCCGCGAUCAUGUCGGCGGGCGGCCGCGACGAAGAGCGGCGGAAGCUGGCCGACAUCAUUCACCACUGGAACGCCAACCGGCUGGACCUGUUCGAGAUCAGCCAGCCGACCGAGGAUUUGGAGUUUCAUGGAGUCAUGAGAUUUUAUUUUCAAGAUAAAGCUGCUGGAAACUUUGCAACAAAAUGUAUUCGAGUCUCUAGCACAGCCACCACUCAAGAUGUGAUUGAAACACUGGCAGAGAAGUUCCGCCCUGACAUGCGCAUGCUCUCCUCUCCCAAGUACUCCCUCUAUGAAGUGCAUGUCAGUGGAGAAGAAAGAAGAUUGGACAUUGAUGAGAAACCUCUAGUUGUACAGUUGAAUUGGAACAAAGAUGAUCGAGAGGGUCGAUUCGUCCUUAAGAACGAGAAUGACGCCAUUCCUGCCAAGAAGGCUCAGAGUAAUGGACCUGAAAAGCAGGAGAAAGAAGGUGUUAUUCAGAACUUCAAAAGAACUCUCUCAAAGAAAGAAAAGAAGGAAAAAAAGAAGAAAGAGAAGGAGGCAUUGAGACAAGCCUCUGAUAAGGAAGAAAGGCCUUCUCAAGGGGAUGACAGUGAGAACUCACGACUGGCUGCUGAAGUUUACAAAGACAUGCCUGAGACCAGCUUUACUAGGACCAUUUCUAACCCUGAAGUUGUCAUGAAACGGCGGCGGCAGCAAAAACUGGAGAAGAGAAUGCAAGAGUUUCGGAGCUCAGAUGGGCGGCCUGACUCAGGUGGAACACUGAGGAUAUAUGCAGAUAGUUUAAAACCAAAUAUUCCAUACAAGACAAUCCUGCUGUCUACUACCGAUACCGCAGACUUUGCUGUAGCCGAAUCUUUGGAGAAGUAUGGUCUGGAAAAAGAGAAUCCCAAGGACUACUGUAUUGCCCGGGUUAUGCUUCCUCCUGGAGCCCAGCAUUCUGAUGAGAGAGGUGCUAAGGAAAUAAUUCUUGACGAUGAUGAAUGUCCUUUACAAAUCUUCAGGGAAUGGCCAAGUGACAAAGGGAUUUUAGUCUUUCAGUUGAAGAGGAGACCACCGGACUACAUCCCAAAGAAAAUGAAGAAACAUGUUGAAGGGAAGUCGUUGAAGGGGAAAGACAGAGCUGACGGGUCUGGCUACGGCUCCGCUCUUCCUCCCGAGAAGCUGCCCUACUUAGUAGAGCUAAGCCCAGGGAGAAGGAAUCACUUUGCCUACUACAGCUAUCACACUUACGAAGAUGGCUCUGACUCCAGAGACAAGCCAAAGUUAUACCGCCUUCAAUUAAGUGUGACUGAAGUUGGGACAGAGAAAUUUGAUGACAAUUCUAUCCAGCUGUUUGGCCCCGGAAUUCAGCCCCAUCACUGUGAUCUCACCAACAUGGAUGGAGUGGUCACUGUGACACCCAGAAGUAUGGAUGCAGAGACCUACGUGGAUGGUCAGCGCAUCUCAGAGACCACAAUGCUGCAGAGUGGCAUGAGACUGCAGUUUGGCACCUCGCAUGUGUUUAAGUUUGUGGACCCCAUCCAGGACCACGUUCUUUCCAAGAGAUCUGUGGAUGGAGGCCUGAUGGUCAAGGGCCCAAGACAUAAACCUGGAGCUGUUCAGGAGACAACCUUUGAAUUGGGAGGAGAUGUCCACAGUGGGACAGCAUUGCCGGCAAGCAGGAGCACUACUAGACUGGACAGUGACAGGGUGUCCUCUGCCUCUAGCACAGCUGAGCGAGGGAUGGUGAAGCCGAUGAUCCGACUGGACCAGGAGCAGGAAUAUCGACGACGAGAAAACAGGACUCAGGAUGCUACUGGGCCUGAACUGAUACUGCCUGCCAGCAUUGAAUUCAGGGAAAGCUCUGAAGACUCUUUUUUAUCUGCCAUUAUAAACUAUACCAAUAGUUCUACAGUUCAUUUUAAGUUGUCACCUACAUAUGUGUUAUACAUGGCAUGCCGGUAUGUAUUGUCCAGCCAGCACAGGCCCGACAUCAGUCCUACAGAGCGUACACAUAAGGCCAUUGCUGUUGUCAACAAGAUGGUGAGCAUGAUGGAAGGGGUCAUCCAGGAAGUAGACCAGGUUGAUCAGAAACAGAAGAACAUUGCAGGAGCACUUGCUUUUUGGAUGGCAAAUGCAUCUGAGCUUCUCAACUUCAUCAAGCAGGACCGAGACCUUAGUCGGAUCACGCUGGAUGCCCAGGAUGUCCUAGCACACUUGGUUCAGAUGGCAUUUAAGUACUUGGUUCAUUGCCUUCAGUCAGAACUUAAUAACUACAUGCCAGCCUUUCUGGAUGAUCCUGAGGAGAACAGUCUGCAAAGACCAAAAAUAGAUGAUGUGCUGCACACACUCACAGGAGCCAUGUCCUUGCUGCGGCGCUGCAGAGUCAAUGCUGCCUUGACCAUCCAGCUCUUCUCUCAGCUUUUCCACUUCAUCAAUAUGUGGCUGUUCAACAGACUGGUGACUGACCCAGAUUCAGGCCUGUGCUCCCACUACUGGGGUGCCAUUAUCCGCCAGCAGCUGGGGCAUAUUGAAGCGUGGGCAGAGAAGCAGGGGCUAGAGCUGGCAGCUGACUGUCACUUGAGCAGAAUUGUACAGGCUACAACAUUGCUUACGAUGGAUAAGUAUGUACCUGAUGACAUUCCAAAUAUAAACAGCACAUGCUUUAAGUUAAAUUCUCUGCAGCUUCAAGCCUUGUUACAAAAUUACCACUGUGCACCCGAUGAGCCUUUUAUUCCUACGGAUCUCAUAGAAAAUGUUGUGGCUGUUGCUGAGAACACAGCUGAUGAGCUCGCCCGCAGUGAUGGCAGAGACGUGCAGCUGGAGGAAGACCCAGACCUACAGCUGCCUUUUCUUCUGCCAGAAGAUGGCUAUUCCUGUGAUGUUGUCAGAAACAUUCCAAAUGGUUUACAAGAAUUUUUAGACCCUCUGUGCCAGAGAGGAUUUUGUAGAUUGGUUCCUCACACACGUUCACCAGGUACCUGGACAAUAUAUUUUGAAGGAGCAGAUUAUGAAAGUCACCUUAUGCGUGAGAACGCAGAACUGGCCCAGCCUCUGAGGAAGGAGCCUGAGAUAAUCACUGUGACUCUGAAGAAGCAGAAUGGAAUGGGCCUCAGCAUCGUUGCAGCCAAGGGUGCUGGCCAGGAUAAACUGGGAAUCUACGUUAAGUCGGUUGUCAAAGGAGGUGCUGCAGAUGUGGAUGGACGAUUAGCUGCUGGUGACCAACUCCUCAGUGUGGAUGGACGAAGUCUGGUUGGACUUUCUCAGGAAAGGGCAGCAGAACUCAUGACAAGAACCAGUUCCGUGGUUACACUGGAAGUUGCAAAGCAAGGUGCCAUCUAUCACGGCCUGGCCACCCUCCUUAACCAGCCGUCCCCCAUGAUGCAAAGAAUUUCAGAUCGUCGUGGCUCAGGUAAACCCAGACCAAAGAGUGAAGGUUUUGAGCUCUAUAAUAAUUCAGCUCAAAAUGGCUCCCCAGAGAGUCCUCAGAUGCCUUGGACAGAGUACAGUGAGCCAAAGAAACUGCCUGGGGAUGACAGGCUGAUGAAAAACAGAGCGGACCACCGUUCCAGCCCCAAUGUGGCAAAUCAGCCUCCUAGCCCUGGAGGGAAGGGUCCAUAUACAUCUGGAACAGCAGCUAAGAUAACAUCUGUCUCCACUGGAAACCUCUGCACUGAGGAGCAGUCCCCUCCACCCAGACCUGAAGCCUAUCCUAUCCCUACUCAGACAUACACCAGAGAGUAUUUUACCUUUCCAGCUUCAAAGUCGCAGGAUCGGAUGGCUCCUCCUCAGAGCCAGUGGCCAAAUUAUGAGGAAAAACCACAUGUGCACACAGAAAGUAAUCAUUCCAGUAUUGCAAUCCAGCGUGUUACCCGUUCCCAGGAAGAGCUUCGGGAAGAAAAGGUUUACCAACUUGAGCGGCAUCGAGUAGAGGCAGGCAUGGAUCGCAAGUGUGACAGUGAUAUGUGGAUCAAUCAGAGCUCCUCAGUGGAAUCCAGCACAUCCAGCCAGGAACACCUGAACCAUUCUUCCAAGUCAGUUACCCCUGCUUCCACUCUGACCAAGAGUGGUCCUGGCCGUUGGAAAACACCAGCAGCGGUGCUGCCCACCCCUGUGGCUGUCUCUCAGCCCAUUCGAACAGACCUCCCUCCACCACCACCUCCACCGCCGGUCCACUACACCAGUGAGUUUGAUGGUAUUCCAAUGGAUUUGCCCCUCCCACCUCCUCCUGCCAACCAGGCAGGACCCCAGUCUGCUCAGGUGGCUGCUGCAGAGUGGAAAAAGAGAGAGGAGCACCAGAGGUGGUAUGAGAAAGAGAAGGCCCGCCUGGAGGAAGAACGAGAGAGAAAGCGCAGGGAGCAGGAGCGGAAGUUGGGGCAGAUGCGCUCUCAGACCCUGAACCCUGCUUCCUUCUCACCUUUGGCCACACAGGCCAAGCCAGAAAAGCCUUCCACACUGCAGAGGCCCCAAGAAACAGUCAUUCGGGAGCUUCAGCCCCAGCAGCAGCCCCGCACGAUCGAGCGCAAGGAUCUGCAGUAUAUAACCAUCAGUAAAGAGGAGCUGUCCUCUGGUGAUAGUCUGUCUCCAGACCCCUGGAAACGAGAUGCCAGGGAGAAGCUGGAGAAGCAACAGCAAAUGCACAUUGUGGACAUGCUAAGCAAGGAGAUCCACGAGCUGCAAAACAAGGUGGACCGUACUGCGGAGGAGAGUGACCGCCUGCGGAAGCUUAUGCUGGAGUGGCAGUUCCAGAAGAGACUACAGGAGUCCAAACAGAAGGAUGAGGAUGAUGACGAAGAGGAAGAUGAUGAUGUGGACACCAUGCUGAUCAUGCAGCGUCUGGAGGCCGAGCGGAGAGCCAGGGUAAAGGGGAAAGGCCUCGGUUCAGACUGCUAUGCCAGCAAUCUCUGUUCUAGAUUUGAUGCAGGAUGAGGAGCGCAGGCGCCAGCAACAGUUGGAAGAGAUGCGGAAACGAGAAGCAGAAGAUCGAGUAAGACAAGAGGAAGAUGGACGCCAUCAGGAGGAGGAGCGAGUAAAGAGAGAUGCUGAAGAAAAGGUUAUGGUCCUCUAAAGGCAGCUAGUUAUUACCAAGUUAUCCUGAACACAAAUGAUUGGCUUGGGCAAAGGGGCUAGAAAUUAUGUGUAUCUAGUAUGCAUAAGACAGAACAGGGCUGCAUCUUCCAACUUUUGCUAUUGGACCAAAAACUCUAGCCCUAUCUGGCCUGCCUACCUCUCUUCCGGACUAUCUUCAGGCUUCCUUGCCUUCUGAUCUAGUCUCCCUCAAAUUCUUGAGCACCAUGUCCCCGAGGAAGGGGUAUGGGGUAUAAUACUGCUCUGGUUUUCCCAGGCAGAGUUCAGGUGGCUUUUAUGAAGGUUUUACAGUUAUUGUAAGAAUUGCGUAUGAGUUCUGUGGGAGGCAACAGUAACAUGGAAGGCAAUCAGUUCUCAUUAGCUAUUUCAAAUAGCUUAUCCAUUAAAAUCACUUAAUUCUGAUGGUAAAGAGUGUAGAUGGCUUGUAAAAAACACAAAAUUAAUAAUGCAGCCCAACAAACAUUCUGGUUAUUUAUGUGGACUCUAACUCUGAUACUUUUCCAUAGUUGAAUUUUAAAAUGAUAGCUGAUUUUUGACAUUCUGCAAAGCAAGAACUUAUGGUGUAGUUGUAGGAUCUCUCUGCAUCCUUGUCAGAGGCCGAGGUUCUGCUGGGUGAGGAGGCUGCUACCCUGAGUCCAGGUCUGCUCUACCCUACCCCAGGGACUGUAUGUUGCUGUUUGGUUUGAGAGAAGCUAUUUUUCUCAGUUACUUCCCUUCCAUGAAGGUAGAAGCUCUGAGUGUGACUACUGGUCGGGAAGAACUUAGUUUUUAUUCAUAGUUAUCUCCUUGAUAGUCCCCAUGAACUAUGUAAAUAGAACCUUCUCCCCCUUAUCCAAGAAACGAAAGGUUUUUUAAAAAAAUUUCGAGGAAGUUCUUUUUAAUGAAAGCAAUGAUUUGAUCACAAGACAAUCUAAGAGUAUGAUUGAUAGACAUGAUGUGGCUCAUUUAAAUGGACGGUGUAAGGCCACACACUUGCAUCUGAAACAACGUCUCUGUUACAGCAGAGUAGUUUCGGAGACUUUGAGUUUUAAGAUCAGUUUACCCACAAGUCUUUAGCAUGUGUAAUGUUAGUGGAAACUGAUGUCUGCAGGAAGUCAGGAAGUACCCAAUACAGGAGCCAUGCAGGUUUUAAAUUAUGGUGGUCUUGCUUUGCUGUUUAUUCUGAGAGUCCUCAGGCUGCAGAGCGAGAUGCUUUCCCAGGUUAGGGCUGGCCAGGUACUGGGAUGAAGCACCCUGGUCAUUGCAUCAGAGUUGUAUGCCCAGAGAGAAGCAGGCUGUGAUUCCUGUGUUGAGAAACUCUCCGUUAUUUAAUCUUUCCAGUAUGUGUUUUCAUAAGUCAUAAUUAUGUCAAAUACCCUUGUGUUUUAGUAACUGUCUCUAUAAUUUAGUAGUCAAUGUAAAAAAGAAACUGAAAUACUAUUUUUACUAUAGAAUGUCCACAAUUAAUGACUUUGAUCUGUUAUGGAAUAUGUGCAUUCAUUUUCUGGAUAAAGUCACCAUGGUCAUUUCAUUGUAUCUGCUCUUGGUGUAACUGAACAAGGUUGGUUUGGUCUUUCCCUACAGGGUUAUUCAAGCAUCUGUUCUUCGUGUAAUUUUAACAUUCUUGGUAGUGCCACUAAAAAGCCACUGAAGUCAUCAUAGUUUAAUUACCCAACCUAAGAUAAUACUGAUAUUGUAUAGUCAAGAACAUAAAAAUUCUUUCCUUUAGGAUUUUACAACAUAAAAGAAGAAGUAAAGCGGAAGUUGGGGCCAGGGUAAUGAGCAGGGCAGCCUUUAGUCUUCCCCUUUCUCUCACAGAAUAUGAAGCAGGGAGCACUGUGUGUUCACUGUGUGUGCUUGUGCUAUAGGGACACAGGGAAAAUGUGGCAUAGUAGAGGCCAACAAACAUGAUGUCAGCAUGGUCCCUGGUGUCAGUUCUCUAUGGUUGGUUGAAUUCAAUCCUGGCUGCCCUUGAACGUUUGCUUAAGUCAAGGCAGAUUGUCAUGUUUUCUCUUUCGUCCCUUUUCAUAUUUACCUCCUUCUUGUGGUCUAAAUCUCUUGUCAAUCCUUAACAAAACUGUGUUGUUGCCUUUUUUUAAAUGUAAAAAGAAUUUCAAUACUGUCAACUGUAGUUUGCCUGAAUGAAAAUGUACAGUGUGUGUCAGAAUAUAUCUGCUAACACUAUUAAUGCUUGGCUCCCAUUUUCUGUUCCUCAGAGAGUUUAUUAAGAUUUGAAACAUAUAUUAACUCUGGAAGCAUACGUGUUAGAUUGUGGCUUUGGGAAAAUGAGUGAUAUUUCUUAUUGUUUAUGGUUUCCUCUUGAAACACAGCAGAAAAAGGUAAGUUAAUAUCCUGUUCAAACAGAAGAGGAGAGAAAAAUGUUCUAGGAAAAGAGGAGGACUAAAGAAUGCAGAUGAUCCUAAAUCUAACUGUGCAAAUGAAAAGUCCUAAGAUUUGACUCAUCCCAUGCUUCUGAGCAGUUCUUGUCAAUGUGGGGGCAGUGUGGUGUUCUCGAAAGUCUUGAGACAAGAGGCUCGCAGGACUGGCCUGCCCCUUCUGUUGCAGUCAUUGUAGCACUGAAACAUGUCUUGUGGAUAUGUUCCUUUGGUGAUGGAUAGUGAUGAUCAGGGUACCUGUCAUCCCCUGAAGGCACUAAGGAUCCACCGCUUCCCCUGACCUUUUGCACUCUCGUCUAUUCCUGCCUGCAGAGGCGACAGGAGGAAGGGUAUUACAGCCGCCUAGAAGCUGAGAGGCGCCGACAGCACGAAGAGGCAGCACGCAGGCUGCUGGAGCCUGAAGAGCCCGGGCUGAGCCGACCUCCACUUCCACGGGACUAUGAGCCCCCGUCCUUGUCCUCAGCACCCUGUGCCCCUCCUCCCCCACCUCAGCGAAACGCAUCCUACCUCAAAACACAGGUCCUCUCCCCAGACUCGCUGUUCACUGCCAAGUUUGUUGCGUAUGAUGAGGAGGAGGAGGACUACGGCCCAGCAGGUCAGGAUAAGUACCCCAGCACACGGAAGUCUCAUGGGCACCUUCCUCUUGCCACCCUUAAGCCGCAGCAGCCCCCCUGCCAGCCACGCCCAGCCUCGGAUGGCAUCUCCCUCUGCAACUCAUUCCAGCCACCCUUGGCCAAAGCCAACAGUACAGCUUACAAAGCAGGCCAGCCCCCGCCCCUGCCAGGCAAACCAAGCCUGUACCGUCCUGGCCACUGGAAAGGUCGAGGACCAAACUCUUACUCGGGAUCUGCAGGCACAGCUGUGGGAGCCUAUGAUGCCCCUCGGGAAGCGAGAGAGAAACUGACUAGGAGCCAAGACGCAGACUUACCUGGCAGUUCUGGAGCCCCUGAAAAUCUGACAUUUAAAGAGCGUCAGCGCCUUUUUUCACAAGGGCAGGAUGUGUCUGACAAAGUGAAAGCUUCUCGUAAAUUAACAGAGCUCGAGAAUGAACUGAACACAAAGUGAGAAGAGAGAGGUCUGCCCUUGGCGGGAGCUUUGUGGGGGCGAGCCUGAAGAGGAAGGAACAGUGCUACUUCUAAGUGAUGUUUAUUUUCUGUACCUGAAAUGGUUGCAAUUUAGAGAUGUUCCAAUUCCAAGAAACUUCGUUUUACUUUACCAAGAAAAAUCCUGUCUAGUUCUUUGUGAUCUGACUCACAUGAAGUUACCUGUUUCUGUUAGCUUUUGGGGAGACUCUUGGACUCAUAGGGCAGAAUGAAGGGCUGUAAAGAUGAGGGGGUAUUUCUUCUACCCUAUCUUCUUUCAUUGUCAUUCCAAGGGCAGUAGGCCAAGAAAUUAUCUUUCUGGUUUUUUUCCUCUAAACUCCAUUUGGUUAGCAGACAGUGACAGCUGAGCAGGUCUGAGCACUACUGUGUCAUAGUGGACCCUGACUGCAGGAGUCAGGCCUCUCAGCCCAGGGCAGAUGCUGCCUUUAUCUUCUAUCAUUUGUAUGACGUGGCUGGAUGGAGUUUCUUUUGUAAGGUGCACAACACAUUCUUGACAAAUGUGAGUCUCCUGAUCAAUUUAAAUGUUUGAGAUUGAAUAUCUAAUUAAUAAUUCAAUUUUGAAAAUUCUCAAAAAAAUUUGAGGAUUUAAGCCUAGGGAUUUUAUUUUUAUAAAUACCAAAUCAUCAUUAGACUAAUCACUGGUGGAAAUUAAAUAUGGCAGUUAUGUUAGGUUUCCUAAUAUUUCAAAGGUUCCAAAGGAUCUAGAGCUCUCUAGUUACAUAGCAUUCAUAUAGGAAUGAGCAGAGACAUCUGAGAAGAGUGGGAGCUCAUGGGUGACAGUAAAACUUAGGUGUCUCAGAACUUAACAUUUAGUAAAGUGAUGUAGAUCCAAUGUCAGGAAAGGAAGGACUGUGUUACUGUGCCUCCUCUGACUCAUGUGCUUUUCAGCAUAAUAGACUUAUUUAAUAUUAAUUCCUAAACUUUGCACUGUCAAUCCUCUGCUGAGUUGUGGGAGGCAGACCUCAGUUUGCUUGUUUUUUGUGAAAGCUAACUUUAUGAUUUCAAGCACACUUUCUACAUGAGAAACCCCUAAUGUGUGUCCAUAUGAUCUUUCUGUACAUUCUAUUCUCUUACAAAUCUGUGCAUCAGGAAAAUAUGCAUACUUUCAAAUAGAACAGAGGUAUUUGCAACCUGAAAAACCACUUUUAAUAAGAGCUGUAUGAUAAAUUGUUGAAAUGCAAGUGUAAAUAUUUUUUAUGUUAAUCCAGUUUCCUAUUAGAAAGUGUGUCUUUGCUAUUUCCUCUGUAAGAGAAUAGAAUGGCCUUGAGAGUUUAUGAAGGAUUUGCACACUCGUCUUGCCUAGGAAGUGCAAUCUCCUUGUGACUGGAGCACACUGGCAGCCUUCAGGUGUCAUAAUCAUACAUCCCAGAGAAGAGCAGUCACCUGCUGUCACUAGUGCAUGGGAAGACAGAUGCACAGAAGAGCCAGGUAGCACCUGAAAACGCUGCACGUGUGUUUGUGAAACCUGUAGUGAAGUAGACUUGGCCGUCCCUGGACAGUGAGGUCAGAUGUGAAUACAUAUUGUAAGAGCACGUUGAAUAGUGUGCAUUACUGUGGGGAAACACCGAAACUGCUGUUGUUUUUCAUUUCUACUGUAUUUUAGUUGCAGCCUAUUUUUAAUAAACUUUGUAUCUAUUUAAGUGUAUUUGCUAUUGUUUUCAAAGUGCUGACAAAGUUUAUAUUUGUAAUGCCAGCAUUCCUCUUCCCCAUUUCCAGCUGUCACUCCUUCAUUAAACUGCUGAGUCAUUCCU